rnacentral:rRNA from 1 species
GCAGUCGAACGGGUGUACGGGAAGGAAGGCUUCGGCCGGAAAACCUGUGCAUGAGUGGCGGACGGGUGAGUAACGCGUGGGCAACCUGGCCUGUACAGGGGGAUAACACUUAGAAAUAGGUGCUAAUACCACAUAACGGGGGAAGCCGCAUGGCUUUUCCCUGAAAACUCCGGUGGUACAGGAUGGGCCCGCGUCUGAUUAGCCAGUUGGCAGGGUAACGGCCUACCAAAGCGACGAUCAGUAGCCGGCCUGAGAGGGCGGACGGCCACACUGGGACUGAGACACGGCCCAGACUCCUACGGGAGGCAGCAGUGGGGGAUAUUGCACAAUGGGGGGAACCCUGAUGCAGCGACGCCGCGUGGGUGAAGAAGCGCCUCGGCGCGUAAAGCCCUGUCAGCAGGGAAGAAAAUGACGGUACCUGAAGAAGAAGCCCCGGCUAACUACGUGCCAGCAGCCGCGGUAAUACGUAGGGGGCAAGCGUUAUCCGGAUUUACUGGGUGUAAAGGGGGCGCAGACGGCGAUGCAAGCCAGGAGUGAAAGCCCGGGGCCCAACCCCGGGACUGCUCUUGGAACUGCGUGGCUGGAGUGCAGGAGGGGCAGGCGGAAUUCCUGGUGUAGCGGUGAAAUGCGUAGAUAUCAGGAGGAACACCGGUGGCGAAGGCGGCCUGCUGGACUGCAACUGACGUUGAGGCCCGAAAGCGUGGGGACAAACAGGAUUAGAUACCCUGGUAGUCCACGCCGUANACGAUGAUUACUAGGUGUCGGGGANCAGAGACUGCCCGGUGCCGCAGCCAACGCAUUAGGUAAUCCACCUGGGGAGUACGUUCGCAAGAAUGAAACUCAAA